UACAGAGGUGGCAAGCGUUGUUCGGAAUUACUGGGCGUAAAGGGCGAGUAGGUGGCCAUCUAAGUCAGACGUGAAAUCCCCCGGCUUAACCGGGGAACUGCGUCUGAUACUGGAUGGCUUGAGUUCGGGAGAGGGAUGCGGAAUUCCAGGUGUAGCGGUGAAAUGCGUAGAUAUCUGGAGGAACACCGGUGGCGAAGGCGGCAUCCUGGACCGAGACUGACGCUGAGGAGCGAAAGCCAGGGGAGCAAACGGG
rnacentral:rRNA from 1 species